AGAGGCAGCCUCCUCCGGGAGCGGGGCCCUGCACACCAUGGCCCCCGGGUGGGCAGGGGUCGGCGCCGCCGUGCGCGUCCGCCUGGCGCUGGCCUUGGCUCUGGCGAGCGUCCUGAGUGGGCCCCCAGCCGUCGCCUGCCCCACCAAGUGUACCUGCUCCGCCGCCAGCGUGGACUGCCACGGGCUGGGCCUCCGCGCGGUUCCUCGGGGCAUCCCCCGCAACGCUGAGCGCCUUGACCUGGACAGAAAUAAUAUCACCAGGAUCACCAAGAUGGACUUCGCUGGGCUCAAGAACCUCCGAGUCUUGCAUCUGGAAGACAACCAGGUCAGCGUCAUCGAGAGAGGCGCCUUCCAGGACCUGAAGCAGCUGGAGCGACUGCGCCUGAACAAGAAUAAGCUCCAAGUCCUUCCAGAAUUGCUUUUCCAGAGCACGCCGAAGCUCACCAGACUAGAUUUGAGUGAAAACCAGAUCCAGGGGAUCCCGAGGAAGGCGUUCCGCGGCAUCACCGAUGUGAAGAACCUGCAACUGGACAACAACCACAUCAGCUGCAUUGAAGAUGGAGCCUUCCGAGCGCUGCGCGAUUUGGAGAUCCUCACGCUCAACAACAACAACAUCAGUCGCAUCCUGGUCACCAGCUUCAACCACAUGCCGAAGAUCCGAACUCUGCGCCUCCACUCCAACCACCUGUACUGCGACUGCCACCUGGCCUGGCUCUCGGAUUGGCUGCGACAGCGACGGACAGUUGGCCAGUUCACACUCUGCAUGGCUCCUGUGCAUUUGAGGGGCUUCAACGUGGCGGAUGUGCAGAAGAAGGAGUAUGUGUGCCCAGCCCCCCACUCGGAGCCCCCAUCCUGCAAUGCCAACUCCAUCUCCUGCCCUUCGCCCUGCACGUGCAGCAAUAACAUCGUGGACUGUCGAGGAAAGGGCUUGAUGGAGAUUCCUGCCAACUUGCCGGAGGGCAUCGUCGAAAUACGCCUAGAACAGAACUCCAUCAAAGCCAUCCCUGCAGGAGCCUUCACCCAGUACAAGAAACUGAAGCGAAUAGACAUCAGCAAGAAUCAGAUAUCGGAUAUUGCUCCAGAUGCCUUCCAGGGCCUGAAAUCACUCACAUCGCUGGUCCUCUAUGGGAACAAGAUCACCGAGAUUGCCAAGGGACUGUUUGAUGGGCUGGUGUCCCUACAGCUGCUCCUCCUCAAUGCCAACAAGAUCAACUGCCUGCGGGUGAACACGUUUCAGGACCUGCAGAACCUCAACUUGCUCUCCCUGUAUGACAACAAGCUGCAGACCAUCAGCAAGGGGCUCUUCGCCCCUCUGCAGUCCAUCCAGACGCUCCACUUAGCCCAAAAUCCAUUUGUGUGCGACUGCCACUUGAAGUGGCUGGCCGACUACCUCCAGGACAACCCCAUUGAGACAAGCGGGGCCCGCUGCAGCAGCCCGCGCCGACUCGCCAACAAGCGCAUCAGCCAGAUCAAGAGCAAGAAGUUCCGCUGCUCAGGUAAUCAGGUUAUGGGGCUGGGCCCCGCUUUCUGACUCAGAAUGCAGCAGCCCCAGAGAGGCCAAUAAUCCAAUCUGGAGGACAGCGAGCCCUGUAAUGGCUCCUGGGGAGCAUCUUUGCAAAUUAAAUUGGGGAAAUUCAGUUAGCCCUGCAGAAAACCAAUUACCUUAUGGAUUUAAAAUAAAACACACACACACAUACACACACAAUAAAAGCAUGGGGAGGAGGAGACGGUUGCAGGGGAGACAGAACCCAGCAGCAGCAUGUCUCCAAGAGCUAAGUAGAAGGUGGGGCUGGGGUGGCCUUUGCACAUGUGCCUGUUAGAGGCUAAGAUUUAUAUUUUUCCUUUCCAAAGUGUCCUCCCCAAAGGGCAAAUAGAGAAAUAAAUAUAGCUCAGGCGAGGCUACAGACGGUGUGUAAUCUUGGGGACCUCCCACUCCCUUCUGAGACAGACCGUGGUACAGCCCUUUGACCACAGUAUAUUAUAGGUUUCACAUGUUCACGAAAAACACUUUCACUAGCUAGCUCCUCCAUCCCAGAUUACUGUGUUCUGAGUACGGAGAGAACAGUAAAGAGUCGUGCUUGGGAAG
rnacentral:sRNA from 1 species